rnacentral:rRNA from 1 species
GAGGAAUAUUGGUCAAUGGACGCAAGUCUGAACCAGCCACGUCGCGUGAAGGAAGACGGCCCUACGGGUUGUAAACUUCUUUUGCAAGGGAAUAAAGUGGGCCACGUGUGGCCUUUUGCAAGUACCUUGCGAAUAAGGAUCGGCUAACUCCGUGCCAGCAGCCGCGGUAAUACGGAGGAUCCGAGCGUUAUCCGGAUUUAUUGGGUUUAAAGGGUGCUCAGGCGGGACAUUAAGUCGGCGGUGAAAUUUUGCGGCUCAACCGUAAAAGUGCCUUCGAAACUGGUAUCCUUGAGUGUGGAUGAGGUAGGCGGAAUUUGUGGUGUAGCGGUGAAAUGCAUAGAUAUUAGGAGGAAUACCAGUGGCGAAGGCGACUUUCUGGACUUAUACUGACGCUGAUGCACGAAAGCGUGGGGAGCGAACA